rnacentral:lncRNA from 1 species
ACGAGUGUGACGCCCCCAAAAUAGGUAUACAUCACCCAUUCUGAGUCGUCAAAUACGUGGUACAAAAUUCAAAUACAACUAAUACAACUAUCGUGUAAAUACGACAAAACAUAUGCUGAGACUUUAAAUACGAAUAUUGUCUUCUAGAUAAUAUUCACACUUAAAUUCAAUCUUAUUACAAUUAUUAUCACACUAUUUCAUAGAAUAAUGAGGACUACUAAGACACCCAUCUGGACCGUCACUCCGUUUUCCGACUAGUCCCAGCUAUAUUCUCAUUUCCUGAAGAGAACAAUGAAAGAAAAGGGGUGAGCUCAACUAGCCCAGUAAGAAAUUUUAUGACUAAGAUAAUGCAAAUAAAUUAUCAUUAGCCUUCAAAAGUGUUAAGCUGAUAGAAUAUAAUAGACAACAAGUUUAACUGCAGCGGAACAAAUAAUCCAUUAGAAGAGUCAAGUAGAGCAUGAUAUCUACUAUCUUCUAUGAUUUAAUAGUUAUCAUCAAUUUUAUCGCUGAGACUCAGCUUAAUAAAUAAACCACAUCGCUGAAUUAUCCAUGCACUACGAGCCAAGGAUAUCCAUUAUUAUCACCGGUUGGUCAUGUUCAUCUCACCAACUAUCCAUCAAUGCACUACGGGCCAAUGAUGAUUUUUACCACAUCAUUCAUUACAUUACGGUAAUGAUUAUACCGAAUAAUCUCUGGUCAUAAUCAUACCAAGUCUAUCUAUGCACGUAAGCCCAAGAUGACUUUCAUCACAAUAUAAGCAUGAGGAUGAUGACAAUGAUAUAAGAUUCAAUAAAACAAGUUCAAGAAUUAAUUUAUCUAGGAACCAAUAACGUCCAAAUUAUCAACAUGAUACUUCUUUGUAGAGUAAAAUUCAAGAAUGCUCAGAAGAAUAUUUCCAUGAAAAGAUACUGGAUGAAGCGCAAAUAUCAAGGAUAUUCCACUAAUUUCAUGGAGUAUGGACAUCAAAACUUUAACCAACUAAGUAUAAUAAAGAAUGGAAUAACAAAAUAAAUCACCAAGCAUGCGAUAGACCGCACAAACAGGUUAUUCGAACAGAAUAAUAAAUAAUGGAACCAGGUCAUGCGUAACGCACAGACAUGAUAUUCCAACAGAAUAAUAAAUAAUGGAACCAGGUUAUGCGUAAAGCACAGAUAGGGUGUUUCAACAGAAUGAUAAAUAAUGGAACUAGGUCAUGCGUAAAGCACAGACAGGAUGUUCCAACAGAAUAAUAAAGAAUGGAAUAACAGAAGAAUUUCACCAAGUAUAGGGUAGUCCGCAUAUACAAGUUAUUCCAACAGAAUAAUAAAGAAUGGAAUAACAGAAGUUCUCUUCAUGAAUACAAAAGAAAUAAUACCCCUUACCUUAGUAGGAAAUUGGAUACCGCAAUAUUGUAGUAACAGAAGAUUCUUCUUCUUUCUCUCUUAUUCUCUCUAUUUUUUCUCGCUCUAUAGCU